UUGCAAACAAGAUGGGUAUAUUUCCUAUGAGGAAAACAAGAUUUAUUGCUUCUUCCCUUUCUAAUCAGUACAUUUCUCCAAAUAGUUGGCAUCAUAAUUAAUCUAAAAGCUGUAUGGAAUAUCAAAUGUAAACUUUUACUGCAUAAAUUAAUUACAAAUGCCAUGCUUCCAUUUCUUUCCAUUCCUUUUUAUUUAUAAGGUUCUGCAAACCACUUUAAUGGCUUUUCAAUUAUUUUUUCAAUUAAUUGGGUUUGGUUUCUGUGCUCCGUUAUAGACGUCUGCAAAUGACUUUGUGGAUGAGUGAGGAGGAGUGGUACAGAAGGUUCUGCUUCCAUUCCUUUUCCUGAGAGCUGCUGCAAUGGAGUCAAGCACUCAGCAUAAAUUAAAAGCUCACACACGUGAAAUCUGUUAAGUAUUUUGUAACUAUUAUUCUAGCUGUUAUAAUAGGACUGAAUCAAUGCUGUAGAAACAAUAUACUUGCUAUUAGAAGAAACACAACCAAACCAAACCAUAUCAACAACAACGAAAACACAUCACCGAAAACCAAAACAGAGAGGAAAGUUUGAAGACAUCUGGGGCAAAAAUUCAGACGGGGUAAAAUGCCUUCAUUCACCCCAGCUCUCAAGUGGCUUCCCAGAAAAGAUCUGGAAAUGAAGCACAGACUCCUAGCGGUAUAGAAGGAAAAAGGUGAAGGCUCCCUGCAGACUGAAAUGCAGAGUCUCAGACUACAUUUGAGGUCAUAAAAGGUGUUACCGAAACCUUGGAUUUUUAACAACGCAAGGCUAAUGCAGACAUUUCCAAUUCAGGUGAGAACCAAGGUCCUUGUGAAUUCAUACCCAAACAGAUGUCUUCUCUACAUCACAGAAGUGAGGCAGUGAGCUGCGAGUAGGGCAGACUCAACAAAACACACCAGGAAGGGCUUGCCAAGCAUACUACCAGCAUGUCAGGUUGAAGAGCAAAGAGCUGAGACACUGGGAAACUUGCAUGGUUUACAUUUGAUUAGAAAGCUAACAGCAGAGCUCUGGAGCCUUGGGGAAUUGUUCUGGCACUGCGCCGACAGCUCUAGCAGUAAUCAAGCUAGUUCCAAGUUAGUGAAGAGCACUGAUGAAACAGAAGCCUGCUGACUUAAGGACUGGUGCCAACACUGCAGCUGCCAUGGAAAGGAAAAGGCCAGGCAAAACCAAACCUGGUGUUGCCUGAGGAGGAAGGGGGUCAACACUAUGGAUGGUGACUGCUGCGGAAAGGAGCCCCCAACCCCCAUUUCUGCUCAGGCACUUUCUCCCUCUCUAGGAUUUUUUGCCAUCAGAGAAGCACUCUACUGAGCAAUCAGUGGGCAGAAUGUUGCUGCUCUCUCCCUUUAAGUAACUUCUAGUUUCAGACCUGCAAGAUCUACUGAAAUUACUGUCUUCUGUUUCAGCAACUGCCUAAUGAGGUCUUUAGGGAAAACUGUGAAGAACGUGUAGUCAUUACCUUCCUG